UACAACUUUCAACAACGGAUCUCUAGGCUCUCGCAUCGAUGAAGAACGCAGCGAAAUGCGAUAAGUAAUGUGAAUUGCAGAAUUCAGUGAAUCAUCGAAUCUUUGAACGCACCUUGCGCCCCUUGGUAUUCCGAGGGGCAUGCCUGUUUGAGUGUC
rnacentral:rRNA from 1 species